rnacentral:rRNA from 1 species
ACGCUGGCGGCGUGACCUAACACAUGCAAGUCGUACGAGAAGUUGGCUUCGGCUGAUGAGUAAAGUGGCGCACGGGUGAGUAACGCGUGGAUAAUCUGCCUUUUAGUUGGGAAUAACGUACCGAAAGGUGCGCUAAUACCGGAUAAUACUGCAUAACUACUGUUGUGUAGUCAAAGAAGGCCUCUGUUUACAAGCUUUUGCUGAAAGAUGAGUCCGCGUACCAUUAGCUAGUUGGUAGGGUAAUGGCCUACCAAGGCUACGAUGGUUAGCUGGUCUGAGAGGAUGAUCAGCCACACUGGAACUGAGACACGGUCCAGACUCCUACGGGAGGCAGCAGUGAGGAAUAUUGCGCAAUGGGGGCAACCCUGACGCAGCAACGCCGCGUGAGUGAGGAAGGUUUUCGGACCGUAAAGCUCUGUCGAGCGGGAAGAAAUGUAUCGUGGCUAAUAUCCAUGAUAUUUGACGGUACCGCUAAAGGAAGCACCGGCUAACUCCGUG